rnacentral:rRNA from 1 species
AACGAACGCUGGCGGCAGGCUUAACUCAUGCAAGUCGAACGCAUCCUUCGGGGUGAGUGGCAGACGGGUGAGUAACGCGUGGGAACGUGCCCUUCAGUUCGGGAUAACCCAGGGAAACUUGGGCUAAUACCGGAUACGUGCGAGAGCAGAAAGAUUUAUCGCUGAAGGAUCGGCCCGCGUCUGAUUAGCUAGUUGGUGGGGUAAUGGCCCACCAAGGCGACGAUCAGUAGCUGGUCUGAGAGGAUGAUCAGCCACAUUGGGACUGUGACACGGCCCAAACUCCUACGGGAGGCAGCAGUGGGGAAUAUUGGACAAUGGGCGCAAGCCUGAUCCAGCCAUGCCGCGUGAGUGAUGAAGGCCUUAGGGUUGUAAAGCUCUUUCGUCCGGGACGAUAAUGACGGUACCGGAAGAAGAAGCCCCGGCUAACUUCGUGCCAGCCGCCGCGGUAA